rnacentral:rRNA from 1 species
UACGGAGGGGGCGAGCGUUAUUCGGAAUUAUUGGGCGUAAAGGGCGCGUAGGCGGCCCGGUAAGUCAAAGGUGAAAUCCCUCGGCUCAACUGAGGAACUGCCUUUGAAACUGUCGGGCUUGAGGCCGGGAGGGGGUAGCGGAAUUCCCAGUGUAGCGGUGAAAUGCGCAGAGAUCGGGAGGAACACCCGUAGCGAAGGCGGCACUCUGGGCCGGUACUGACGCUGAGGAGCGAAAGCGUGGGGAGCAAACAGG